UACAGAGGGGGCAAGCGUUAUUCGGAAUUAUUGGGCGUAAAGGGCGCGUAGGCGGCCUGGCAAGUGGAAGGUGAAAUCCCUCGGCUUAACCGAGGAACUGCCCUCCAAACUGCUUGGCUUGAGUCCGGGAGAGGUGAGUGGAAUUCCCAGUGUAGCGGUGAAAUGCGUAGAUAUCAGGAGGAACACCGGUGGCGAAGGCGCUCAUCUGGCCCAAUACUGACGCUGAAGCGCGAAAGCUAGGGGAGCAAACGGG
rnacentral:rRNA from 1 species